rnacentral:lncRNA from 1 species
CAGGCCCUGGCAACACUUCUAUACUCUUCCCAAGAGGACAAGCCCUUUUUCCACAUUUCAUAGACCUUCCUCUACCCUUUGAUCUUAUCGAUUCCCUUUGAUCUUAUCGAUUAGCUCCUUGCUCAUCCACGCAGGUUUCCUGCUCCCCUUCCCCGAUUUCCUACUCAACAUCAUAGAUCUGGAAAAAUACUACACACACACACACACAGAGCUCAAUGAAAUUAACUUUGGCUCAAAAAAAAAAAGCUACUGCAUAACUUCUGCUGAUGUGACUUGAUUAGAGGAGCAAUCAAUGCUGCAAGGUGCCUGUUUCUUAUUCCAAGGUAAGGGAGACCUGAAAUAAGUCUAGCCUUUGUCCUUUGUUAUAUGGAAUUAAAUAACAAUGUCUAUGUAUGUUGUCAAAAUGAUAAUUCUACGUUGCAGCAGGCUUGUUAGCAGCAGUAUGUUGUUAUGUGUCAGAUUUUUUUUUUUCUUCCGGUGCGAAGGAAUUUUGCCAGCUGGCUGGAAGCUUUUUAAGGCAACAUUUUGCAUCAUUUACUGAUGUGUAGUGUUUUUUUCCCUGCAAGCGUAAAAUCUGUUGGAAACAUACAAACACUGAGGAUUAAAACGGAAACUGAUCUGAAACCGGAAGAAGGAAGACCAUUCAUUCUGGAUUAUGCAAGAAGUGGUAGUUGUCCUUGAGGUGGAGCAGACUAUUCAGUCAAAAUCAGCAAAAAGAGAAGGGAGAACAUGCCGCUUUUGAGGAUGAAGCUACGCUUCUUCCUGUCCCUUAUGCGACUUACAGCCUCUCAUUUAGAAGUGCUGUGUGGCUGGAGGAGCAGAAUUAUAAGUGAACUGAGUGGGGAGAAGAACUGGCCACACAAAAUCCUGAACAAGCAAUUUUACUGAAGAAACUAGACAAGACAGGAACUCCUUUCUUGUAAGUGUGACUCUAUAUUAUAUUUCUCCUGGAUAAUUCUGUUCAAACCUAGUCAAUAUUUUGGCUUGUUAAAUGUGUGUGAACCCAGAUUAACUGAACACAGUUAGUAAAUUGUAUAGAUUCGCACUGCUAUUACUGAGCAAUUCUUUUAGAACCAAAAGCUCUGUAAGUCUUUGUGGUCCUGGACUGAUCAUAAUUGCUAGUUAAAAUUUAAGCUACUUUAAGAUCUCGAUGUUUGUCUUCAGUGACCUCGCCAUAUAUCUUUGAGUAUGGACUUACAUUUUGUUGACAUUGUGGCGUUUUGAUUAAUUACCCCAUAGCUGAAACAUGUUGAUAGAAAUGUUUCUUUGACUAAUUUCUGUUAUAUCGGCGCAUGUUCAAUAAUACUUGAUUCUGAUAUUUCAUAAACUUCUGUAAUUGUAAAGGGAUUAGUUGGAGGUUGGUUUAGACGUCCAGAGUCUCCCUAUAAAAAGGGAAAACAAAAAAUAGAGCAGCCUUUCUUUAAACCCCUACAUUUAACAUCUGUUUAAAGAUGACAGAAAUUAUAGACUUUAAGGAAUUAAUAUAAUACAAAGUAACAAUUGACAAAAUUUUAAUGACUAUAUCUGUAGUUAGUGCUGGAAAAAGUGGUAUUUUUUUUUUGUUCAGGAAGCAGAAUUGCUAUUCAGAAAAUGAAUCAUCCUGAUGUAGAAGCCGAAGGCAGAAACAGCAGAUUUAAACCAAAGUGCUCUUAGAUUUCUCAGUUUUGCUGUGAAUCAAUCACACAUUGACAAGAUUGUGCAGGUACAAUGUGAACAGCAUGACACAGCUCUUCUGGCAAUGUCACCUCUGCUAGGAGCUGCUAAGGCUAUUUAUACAUAAACUGGAAUUCUAGUUGAACAGCAGCAUUCCCUUAGUUUUAGCUUUGCUGAUGAAAGAGAGCUAGUUCAAAUAAAAUACAAACACCAGAGACUCUUGUUUUCA